UCCCAGGUAAACAAAUCCCUGAUGUAUAAUCUGCAUAGCGUCACUUACCUGAGUAAAAGGAUCCAUUGUUUAAUUUUUCUUAGAAAUAUUACUUUUCACACCAGCGUGGCCCGGCCACUAGUUUUAUGUGAAGCCGUAGACCCUUGUCUAUUACUUGGAACAGAAGGUUACUCUAAUAUAAUAGGAAAAAGGGAAUACGUUUGGCAGAGACGCGUACCGCACCCUUCGACUGCGCUUCUCAAACUGUCAGAACUUUCAACCGUUAAGUUUGAAUGCAACCGCCAUUACAUCUAUUCGGUAAGCUUUCAUUGGACAGUGAGAAGUAAUAUCUAGAUGUCAACGGUUGUAGUGGGCAUUGGUAAUAGAUAGUAGCGUGGCUAAUUAUCUACGUUGUAAGUAAUUAUCUGGAGCAUUUGUUUUAUGCGUAAAUGCCUUUGCUCAUUACUUGCUCCGCAGGUGGCCUUUCAUGUAUGUGAGUAUGCGAUUUUUUGUUAGUUUCCAAGAUUCGAGCGAACGAAUAAACCGAUGAAAUGUUCAGACUGGUAAUUCUUAUAUUACACAACUCCUGUAAGGAUAUCGCUUUUGCUCAAUAAUUACCAAGUUAUGCUAUCAAAAUUAGAGGAAAGGAAAUAACAUCGUUGAUUGAACACAUACCGUGAUCCGCAACAAAAACUCUACGAUGUAGAAACACCAAAGCACUCUGAAAAAUUUGACACUUUUUACCUACAUUCACAAUUUAAUUAGAUCAUUAUAAAUUUUGAUUCCGAUGGAGGAAAACAUCAUUCAAACUAGUCGACCAAGGAAUCGAAGAACAACUCUUGCAAGCGGACCAAUUUCCGAUAAUAUUGCAAAUUCAAAUAUUAAACUGGAUUAUGUUACUAUACUCUUAUUUAUUGGUUUAGUAACUAUGCAAUUGCUUACCAGUGCUGUUGUUCGAUAUAUCAUAUCAAGCCUGUAUUUAUUCAAUGAAUAAUUCUGUCAUUUGAAUCACAUAUUUUUACCAUGCUACAAAUUAACUGUUAUAAUGCUGGGAAAAUCCACAGUCAGUUCGUUCUUGCGAGACUAAUUACACAUGCGAAAAUUAGAAAGAAUGAUAUAUUACAUGACUCACGAAAGUAGUUACCAAGAAAGGUUGUUCUUCGUGCAUUAGGAACUAUUUACCCAAUUUUUCAAGAGAAUGCGUUUCAUCCCGUGAUCAAGUUUGGAUGUUUCGAAGAGGUUGCUGGUACGCAUAAUUACAGACCCAUACAGAUUAGUUUGCAUAGUGCUCGUAAUAAAUGAAGAGAAAGUAACAAAGAAU
rnacentral:misc_RNA from 1 species